rnacentral:lncRNA from 1 species
AUUUUCUGAUCCGGGCUCUCUGACCUUGGGUAAAUCACAUACCACCCUGGGCGUCACUUUCCCCCUCCCUAAGUCAGGGCGGGGAAGAGGGUGUGGAAUAGAAUUGGCAGCUUCGUGAUUGUUUGUCCUCGCCUUCCACUCACCUGGAAAAGCUUCCCAUAGGUGCAGGGGGAAGGCAGGUGCAGAGAGGGAAGGGAGGCCAGAAGGGGAGGCCACAGGGACAGAGGGAGAGGCAGAUGAAGCGGGAAAUCUGAAAACUGAAAACUGAAAACUGCAGCGCUUCGCUUUGGCGCAAUAUUCUGGGAGGCUCUGCCUCUGCCAACCGGCCCUGAAGACGACCAGUGAGCUUCCUUGAGGGCCUAAAGGUCUCGAUUUUUUUUUUUUCCAUCAGCAGCCCCUUUGGCUUUAUUUAUUUGUUGGUUGGUUGGUUUAUUCCAGGAGACGAUCAAUGCCCUUUGGGAAGUCUUAUGAGUGAAGCAUACAAAGAAUGCUGGCGAUGAGACGGGAUUCCAUCCUAUCUGGAACCUCACAUUGCCUUUCCUCUUUGGGGAAAUCCACUCCAGCUCCUAAAGACCGUGAUUGUCAAACUCUUACGUGACUUCAUAGGAAACAUUUGAGACCUCAGAGCUGUACAUUCCUGAGUUCAAAUCCAAGUCCUACCAGUUACCAGCUGUGUGUGUUCACGGACAAAUUUCUUAACUUCUUUGAGCUUCAUUUUCCUCAUUUGCAAAAUGAGGCCAAUGACCUGCCUUGCGGAGUUGUUGAGGUAACCAAAAUAUGGUGGAAAAAAGCAAAAUGAGAUGCUUAACUUAGAGUUCAGCACACAUAGACUCCCCACAAAUAAGAGUUUCUUGUCUCCUUUUUCCCAAGAUCUGAGAUCUGCUUAACAAGGACUAGCGCAAUUUAAAAAGAGAGUUUUUUGCUUUAUUUUUUUUAAGUCAGGACAUAGUAUAAAUCACCCACUGGCUAUUCCUGUAUUUAAAAUUUAUAAUCUAUAAAUGCAGGUGGAAAUAUCUUUCUUCAAGGUGGAUUCUAAAACUUUAAAGUUAUUAAUGAUGUUUUGGAUUCUUACAUUUGGAAAGGAAAGGAUACAAAGAUAAAAUUUGGAAAAUCAGUCCCCCUUCCAUUUUCUGCCACAUGCCCGAUGCCGUCACUGACAGCUCGAGCUGAGGAAUAUAAGUAGCUUUUGCUUAGGAGGAGGCGUUAGCACGAUGCCCGCCUCUCCAGAGAGUGUUUUCGCUUGUAAUUCAAGGUAUUAUCUAGACCCUCAGCAUUAGGGCUACAUUCUGGAUCAGCAAGUACCAAGAUCAUACUUUUGCCAUUUUAUUGGUUAAUAGGUUCAACUAUCAAAAAGACCAACACUGAAGGUGUUAAAAAAAAAAAAAAAGCCUGUACUAGGAUUUCAAUUAAGUUUUAAAAAUAUACACACACAGGGAAGAAAGACUGACAGCAAAAAUAUAACAGUGGCGAUUUCUUGAUGGUUACUGGAAUUUGAGGGGACGCAGCAUGUAUGGCUGUUCAGAACAUAUAUUCGAGAACUAGACUCCUUGGGCUCCACGU